GGAGAGUUGGCCGAGCUGGCUGAAGGCGCACGAUUGGAAAUCGUGUUUGCGUCACAAGCGCAACGAGGGUUCGAAUCCCUUGCUCUCCG
rnacentral:tRNA from 1 species